rfam:Alistipes sp. CHKCI003 isolate CHKC3 genome assembly, contig: {contig12}
GCGUAGGCCUGCUGCGGGGAGAUCAUGUGCACGUGGCCGUCGAUGCCGGCGGCCGUCAGGAUCAGGUGCUCGCCCGAAAUGGCGUCGGUGGCGGCACCGGUUACCAGAUCGGGGUGCACGCCGUGCAUGAUGUUGGGAUUGCCCGCUUUGCCGAUGCCGGCGAUCUUGCCGUCCUUGACGCCCACGUCGGCCUUCACGACCCCCAGUACGGGGUCGAUGAUCGUAACGUUGGUGAUGACCAGAUCGAGCGAACCCUCCUGCGAGGUCAUCGUGUUGGCGAGGCCCAUGCCGUCGC